rnacentral:lncRNA from 1 species
UUUCCCUUUGGUGACCAUAGGUUUGUUUCCUAUGUCUGUGAAUCUAUUCUGUUUUAUAAAUAAGUUCAAUUGUAUCAUUUUUACAUUCCACGUAUGAUGUCAUAUGAUAUUUGCCUUUCUCUGACUUAACUUAGUAUGAUCACUAGAUCCAUCCAUGUUGGUGAAAGUGGCAUUAUUUCUGUUUUAUGGCUGAGUAGCAGUCCAUUGUAUAUAUAUUCCACAUCUUUUUUUCCCCCACUUUUUAAAGUUUUAUUGAAGUGUAGUUUUUCUAUUGUAUAUUCUUGCCUCUGUCAAAAAUUAGUUAACCGUAAGUGUAUGGGGUUUAUUUUUUUCUGUACUUUCUAGCUUGUUCCGUUGAUCUAUGUGUCUGGUUUUGUGCUGGUACCAUACUGUUUUGAUUACUGUAGUAGAGUCUGAAGUCAGGGCAUGUGAUUCCUCAAACUCCAUUCUUUCUCAAGAAUACUUGGGCUAUUCAGGGACUUUUGUGUUUUCAUAUAAAUUAAUUUUUUUCUGUUUUACUUCUGUAAAAAAUGCAUUGGUAGUUUGAUAGGAAUUGCAUUGAAUCUGUAGAUUGCCUUGGGUGGUAUAGCCUUUUUUUUUUUUUUGCUUUUUAGGGCUGCACCCAUGGCAUAUGGAAGUUCCCGGGCUAGAGAUUGAAUCAGAGCUACAGCUGCCAGCCUACACCACAGCCACAUCAAUGCAGGAUCCAGGCAGCACCUGUGACCUACGCUAUAGCUCACAGCAAUGCCAGAUCCUUAACCCACUGAGCAAGGCCAGGAAUCGUACCCACAACCUCAUGGUUACUAGUUGGAUUUGUUUCCACAGUGCCUCAUUGGGAACUCCUAAUCAUUUUUAACAAUAUUGAUUCUUCCAGUCCAAGAACAUGGUAUAUCUUUCUGUUUGUGUCAUCUUUAAUUUCUUUCAUCAGUGUCUUAAAAGCUUUCAGAGUACAGAUCUUUUGCCUCCUUAGAUAGGCUUAUUCCUAAGUGUUUUGUUCUUAAUGUGAUAUAAUGGGAUUGUUGCCUUAAUUUUUUUCUGAUAUUUCAUUGCUACUGAAUGGAAAUGCAACCAAUUUCUAUAAAUUCUGUAUCCUGCAACUUUCCCAAAUUCAUUGAUGAGCACUAAUAAUUUUCUGGUGGCAUCUUUAGGAUUUUCUUUGUGUAGUAUCAUGUUAUCUGCAAACAACCUUUUUCAAUUUGGACUCCUUGUAUUUGUUUUUCUUCCCUGAUUGUUGUGGCUGGGACUUCCAAAACUAAGUUGGAUAGAGAUUGGCAUCCUGGCUUCUGCCUGAUAUUAGAGGAAAUGCUUUCAGCUUUUCACCAUUGAGUAUGAUAUUAUCUGUGGACUUGGAAUAUACAGUCUUUAUUAUUUUGAGGUAUAUUCUCUAUUACUGAAGAGUUUUUAUCAUAAAUCUAUAUUGGAAUUAAUCAAAAGCUUUUCAUGCAUCUGUUGAGAUGAUCAUAUGGUUUUUAUUUUUAAAUUUGUUAAUGUGGUAUGCCACAUUGAUUGAUUUGUGGAUAUUGAAAAAUCCUCUCAUUCCUAGGAUAAAUCCCAUUUGAUCAUGAUGUAUGAUCCUUUUAAUACAUUGUUAGUGUGCUAGUAUUUUUGGAGGAUUUCUGCAUCUAUAUUUAUCAAUGACAUACCUUAUUUUGUGGUAUCUUUGCCUAGUUUUGGAAUCAGGGUGAUGGCCUCGUAGAAUGAGUUCAAAAUUGUUCCUUCCUUUGCAAUUUUGAAAUAGUUUAAGAGGAGUAGGUGUUAACUCUUCUCUAAAUGUUUGAUAGAGGGAGUUCCCAGCAGUAAAGAACCCAAUUAGUGUCCAUGAGGACAUGGGUUCGAUCCCUGACCUCAAUCAGUGGGUUAAGGAUCUGACAUUGCUAUGACCUGUGGUGUAAGUUGACAAUGUGGCUCAGAUCUGGCAUGGCUGUGGCCAGCAGCUGCAGCUCUGAUUUGACGCCUAGCCUGGACACUUUCAUAAGCUAUGGAUUUGGCCUGAAAAAGACCCCCAAAAUUUUUGAUAGAAUUCACCUGUGAAGCCAUCUGGUCCUGGACUUUUGUUUGUUGGCAGUUUUUUGUUUUUAUAUUUGUGCUUUUUAGGGCUGCACCCACAGCAUAUAGAAGUUCCCAGGCUGGGGUCUAAUCAGAUCUGUAGCUGCCAGCCUACACCAGAGCCACAGCAAUGCCAGAUCCAAGCCACAUCUGUGACAUACAUCACAGCUCACGGCAACGCCGGAUCCUUAACCCACUGAGCAAGG